AGACAUUCGCAGAAAACGAGCAAACUCGAAAAACAUCUACACCACAAUUGAUCUAAUUAGAAGAGAACAUUUCGAGCAACCUGCACGUGUCCAAUGGUUAUAUAUAGAAUAUAUUGUAGUCUUUCGCAUUUAAAUAUAAUAUAUGGUAAACAUCAUACAUGCACGUACUUGAGGUAUAGAGAAACCAGGCUGCAGGAUGAUUUAUUGUCUACUCCAAUAUGCUCAUAUAAUACUAUAAUAUUAUAAUAUGCCUUAAAUUAAAUUUGUCAACG